rnacentral:rRNA from 1 species
GAUGAACGCUGGCGGCGUGUCUAAUACAUGCAAGUCGAGCGAACGGACGAGAAGCUUGCCUCUCUGAUGUUAGCGGCGGACGGGUGAGUAACACGUGGAUAACCUACCUAUAAGACUGGGAUAACUUCGGGAAACCGGAGCUAAUACCGGAUAAUAUUUUGAACCGCAUGGUUCAAAAGUGAAAGACGGUCUUGCUGUCACUUAUAGAUGGAUCCGCGCUGCAUUAGCUAGUUGGUAAGGUAACGGCUUACCAAGGCAACGAUGCAUAGCCGACCUGAGAGGGUGAUCGGCCACACUGGAACUGAGACACGGUCCAGACUCCUACGGGAGGCAGCAGUAGGGAAUCUUCCGCAAUGGGCGAAAGCCUGACGGAGCAACGCCGCGUGAGUGAUGAAGGUCUUCGGAUCGUAAAACUCUGUUAUUAGGGAAGAACAUAUGUGUAAGUAACUGUGCACAUCUUGACGGUACCUAAUCAGAAAGCCACGGCUAACUACGUG